rnacentral:tmRNA from 1 species
CCUCUGUUUUUUGAAAGUUUUGCCCCCUAUAUUGGGGGUGCCGGUUCGCCGGCUAUGGAAAUAAACGGUCGUCGCAAUAAACCAUUCGGACCCGGGGGCGGUACCCGGCGCCUCCACCAAAGCCCACCGGACGGCGGGCUUUGGCGGGGGCGAAAUAGGAUCGACGAGGGCGUAAAGGACGUACUUUUUCCCGGUAUUGUUCCGCCGUUAUCGGGCUACUGCAAUAGUUGCCAACGACAACUUUGCUCCGGUUGCUCAGGCUGCGUAACGCAGUUUGAAAGACCACUCUGAAGUCCUAGUGGGUUAAGCUCCGCUAGGCGGGGUUCGGAGGCACCUGGCAACAGAAGCCUCCACU